UAGGGAUAAUGGUCCACUGCCCAGACUGGUGGAAAUCCACCACGCCGCCUCGAGCGGCGCAGGCGCUGCCUCUCCUCGCCCCGUCGCGCGGCGCCGGCGCCGGCGCCUCUCACCGCAUCCGCCCGCGCCGCCGCCUCCUCUCGCCGCAGAUGUCGCCGCCGCCUCCUGUCGCCGCAGAAGUCGCCGCCGCCGCCGCCUCACGUCGGAUCUGCACGUGCCGUCUCACCGGAUCUGCGGGCGCCGCAUCCCUUUGUUCACCGGUGCCGGCGCCUCCUCCCUUCCUCCCACGGUGCACGACCUCGGCGCAGCCUUCUCUUCUCCCCACGGCAAGAUUCGUUGACACUUCUGUCCAGGCACCGUCUCUUCCCCAACAAGAACCAUGAACUCGGCAUUUCUUUCAUUCAGGUAAUGGAGCUACUGAUAGCCUUGCAGUAAUGCCUUCUGCUCUUGCACUUACGGAGAAUUUGGAUUUUUGGGACUCUUACUUUCUGUUUGUAUGAAAUGAAUGUAAUUAGUUUUCAGUGGCUUAUCCUAGCUGAUUGUGGUGAUGAAUAUGAUGUUUAAAUGAGUAAAUCAUGUAUUGUGAAUGGGUGACUGAUUGUGGUGACUGAAUGGAUAUGAUGCAAGCAAUUUUUAGAACAUUCUAUGCGGUAUUCAGAAUUUU